GUCCCCGUAGCUCAGUAGGAUAGAGCGAGGCACUCCUAACGCCUAGGCCGCAGGUUCGAUUCCUGCCGGGGGCACCA
rnacentral:tRNA from 4 species